GACGAACGCUGGCGGCGUGCUUAACACAUGCAAGUCGAGCGGUAAGGCCCUUUCGGGGGUACACGAGCGGCGAACGGGUGAGUAACACGUGGGUGACCUGCCCUCAGCUCUGGGAUAAGCCUGGGAAACCGGGUCUAAUACUGGAUAUGACUCCAUGACGCAUGUUGUGGGGUGGAAAGCCUUGUGCGGCUGAGGAUGGGCCCGCGGCCUAUCAGCUUGUUGGUGGGGUGAUGGCCUACCAAGGCGACGACGGGUAGCCGGCCUGAGAGGGCGACCGGCCACACUGGGACUGAGACACGGCCCAGACUCCGUACGGGAGGCAGCAGUGGGGAAUCUUGCGCAAUGGGCGAAAGCCUGACGCAGCGACGCCGCGUGAGGGAUGACGGCCU
rnacentral:rRNA from 1 species